CGGCCGCAGGGGAAGCCUUGUAGGCCUCUACCGCUAUCCUCCACCACCUUCUCGUCCCGCCACCGGCCAAAAAUCGAGGGGAUCUGCGGCUGCUGUCGCCGCCACCGGAUUUGGCGUUUCGGGCCACAUCGGCGGCUGCGCCUUGCCAUGGAUUGGCCAGUAAGCAGCCCACACGGCCCCGGCAAAGCCUCUGCGCCGCAUGCAUGUACCGGCUCUUCCUCUAGCAACUCUAAUCUCUCCCGCCAUCGGUUCUCCGGCAACUACACGGCCGACCGUCGCCCGGGCUCGGCGCUCGCGCAACGGCUCACCGACUUGCAGCUGGCGGUCAUACAAUGCGACGACUGCACACGGCAAGUGGUGCGCCGAGUUUCUACCACGCCGAAACAUCACGGAUGGGUGUUCUUCAAAUGGACAAAUGAUGGGGAUGAUGGAUGCUUGUUUUGGUAUUGGAAGAAGAAUACGUCAAUCUAUUAAUAGCACGAAAAUUAGUAGAUGUCUAUGCACUCGUUGCUAUAAUUGAGGCUAAAUGUGAGACUAGAUGUGCGAUUAGAGAAGAAAUUAGAGGGGAUGCAACGUCUACUUCUUUAGAGUCAAAAAAGAAUAAUGAACUAUGCAAGAUCGAUAAUCCGCAGAUCAACAAUGAAGGCAUCGAGAAGAUAUUAAUCCAACUAGUCAGAGUAGUUAUGGAAGUUGGAUAUCUUCUAAAAUGUCUAAUUAUGGUUCUUAUUUUCUGUGGUCUUGCUCUUCUAGCAAAGAAUUGGUGAAUUAUUAUGUAAUCCAAUGUUGUUGAAUGAAAUAAAGAAGUAAAGAAAUGUGUUUCGGUGGCCGAA